CAGUCGCCGCGGUAAUACGUAGGUGGCAAGCGUUGUCCGGAAUUAUUGGGCGUAAAGGGCUCGCAGGCGGUUUCUUAAGUCUGAUGUGAAAGCCCCCGGCUCAACCGGGGAGGGUCAUUGGAAACCGGGAAACUUGAGUGCAGAAGAGGAGAGUGGAAUUCCACGUGUAGUGGUGAAAUGCGUAGAGAUGUGGAGGAACACCAGUGGCGAAGGCGACUCUCUGGUCUGUAACUGACGCUGAGGAGCGAAAGCGUGGGGAGCAAACAGGAUUAGAUACCCCCGUAGUCCCUGUCUCUUAUAC
rnacentral:rRNA from 1 species